AUCUUAAUGCCGCCUGUUGGAUUCACCUGGCGCUUUAAGAGGGGCGGGGCUGCCACUGACAGGCGACCGUUCGCAGGACGUAUAAAAAGCAGCAUCGCAUUACGUUACGUUAGUGAAUACACUCGCUUCGUCGUCGGCAUGGCCCAAUGGUUAUUACCUACUUCUGAUACUGCUACAGCUUCUGCAACUACUUCUGUUUCAUCUACGACUACUUCUGCUGCAAAGUGUCCCAAUAAAUGUAUAAAAAAAAGUACAGAAAGAGUGAUCCUUCCAUGCUUGCUGACGAUCCCUAUUCAGAGGGCCGUGAAGAACGGAAAUAACUGAACAGUAAUAACCAUGGGGUUGGAUAGGAUCCCCGAUGAGUUUCAAGCCUUGAAGAGGAAUCACUCUCCAAGCAAAAACCUUGUCUAUUCAGUCCUGAGAUUGGCCAAAGGAGCACCGCCAUCUAGUGGGAAAGACCCUUGGUAAAAUAAGCUCUGGUCAGACUAGGAAAAUGGACUCCCGUGAACUUGAAACCCUCAGAGUGAAGCGCUCUGCUGCGCAAUCUUCCUUCACAAAGAGGACCAAUAAGCUUGCCUCCAUAGUCAACCUGUUGGGAGAGAAAGCCCUAAUUGAUGAGCUGAAGGCCCUUGAGGUAGACUAUGAGAGGGUCAGUGAUGCAGGAUUCGACUAUGCUGAAACUCAGUGCGGUAAAGGGAACCGAGGAUGAAGAGAGCAAGGCGGAAGAAGAAGCAGCCUGGAUCGCAGAGAAAACGGCUGAAUGCCUGCGCAAAUGCACCAAAACCGUUGAGCUCAUCCAGGAAAGAAUCUGGACGAAGUUCGAUGCAGAUGACAUCAAGGAAUGUAUUUCCAGUGCAGAAGCUAAAAUGGUUCAACUGGAGAGCUGCAAAAUAAUAAAUUACAUAAAACUGACUUUGAGCUCACCAGAAAUUGCCUGAAGAGAGAGGAUUGACGAGCUCGAGAAAAAAUGCAGUGACUGGAAUUUAUUAAUCUCAUAUGCCAACACAAAGGUGUUGAAGGAGAAGGUUCGAGCUCUGUGGCGCCGGGUUAGAGACUUUGAGGAUAGCUGGCAGAAAAGAGAUGCAGAAAAGUCGUCCGAUGUGGAUGACAGGGCCCCACUGGAAAAAGAGUCAGACAAAGCAAAAAACAUGCCUGAUCCUGUCAGCCCCACAGAGCCUCCAUUCACCAGUCUCGGUCUCAAGCAUGAACUUCCUUCCCAACGCCACCCCAAGUGUUCCAUUUAAUCCCACACAAACAACCAUCUCAAA